AUGGCAGGGCUCAGAGGAGCGGCCCGCAGGAGCCCAUUCCUGGUGUUAUACUCCCUCUGCAGGGCACAGAGGCUCUGCGGCCUGCUCAGGCCUCUUUCUCUCCCCCUUCCGCUCCUCUCUUUCUCCCACGGAAAUUCACUUUCUACACCCUGCAAUUAUCCAGUGUAUCCGGGGGCAAGUUACUCAGAGGAGUAUCCCACAGAAAAAGCUUAUUUUGGAGGUUCUCCCCAUCACUUCACAAAACAUGGGGCUUCAAGAGAUCCUGCUUUCUGCAUGGCCUUGGGGGAGCCCUCUCCUUAUGAGGACUUGAGGCCCUGUCCCCAUGUGCACAUCUCUGUCUCACUGCAGCCCUGUGGUAAGAGAUAGAGGAAAACCCAUGCUGCCUUGCGGAGGGAUGUCAACCUGUGAGGAGCCUGGCCAGAGGACAGCCCCAGAACGGGGACAGGGCCUGAACCACUCUCCUCUGAAGUCAGUGCAGUGAUGAAGAGAUGCAAGACACUGGUUUCAGCGAACCCAUGUGUUCCAUGCUGAUUUAAAAACAAACAAAAAAAAGAAAUACUCCAGUUUGGUUCCUUCAUGAUUUCAACUUCAUACACACUGUGUUCUCUUCCCAAAAAUUCAUUCAGGUAGAAGAUUCCUAUGUAUGUCCUCCUCUGUGCCCCAUCAAACAUCAGCCUCCCCAUUCUCAAACAGAGCAGAUGAAGAGGAGCUGCUUCGUGAAGCAUCUGGGGAAGCAUUAAGAAGUGCCACCUCUGGCACCUACAGCCCUGAGCUCAGCAACUGUUUGAACCAGUUAUUCAUCAGACCAUGCUGGGGAUCGAGAAGGAGCCUUGGCCUGGGCAUGGCUUCCAGGUUGCUCAGGGAAAAUGUCCCACAGCACUCUCCUCACAAAGGGGUAAACCUGGCCUCCAGUGGGCCCCAGCUACCAGCAGAGGAGUCUGCUCUGGGCAUGGUGGGUUUAUGCACACCGUGGUCAGGUCUGCUUUCCUAGCAAUGAUGAGUGUGGUAAAGUAAGCAAUGAAACAGAUGUUAUGAGAAAUAUCUGCUGAAUUCUCAGUGGCUUGCAUCUGAGAGCACAAAGAACCAGCCUGAACAACAUACCCAGUCAUAUAAUACGUUCACCAUAAUCCAAACCAACAUCCUCAACUGUCUUAUGCUGUCAUCAUUUGAUCAACUCCAUUUUCACAUAUCCUUUUCAAGCCACACAAUUAUCAGGAAAGUUUGACACAACAUAAAUUGAAAGACCUGUUUCCUCUAUUAAAUGCUUUCCAAAAAAAAAAACCAAAAAAAAAAAACAAAACAAAAAAAACCCCCAACAUCCUAAUUCCUAAUAGGCUGGUCACAUGCUAGCAUGAGUGAUAAUUCCAGGUCUUUCACACUUCCAUGUCAAAUGCCAUUUUGUCAAACUGCCCCUCUGCGGCCAUCUGUGGCACAGCAACAAAAUGUAAUGGAAUAGUGGCAGGAAGGUUCAACCUCUACUGCCAUAUCACCAACAUCAGCCUCUGAUAUCUUGGGCUCAUAUAAUAAAAUAGGAGACAUUAUUUUUGGAGCA
ensembl:lncRNA